AUGGCCGCGCGCCGCCUCCUCAGCGCCCUCGACGUCCGCGCCUCGCACCUGCCGAGGCCUCCUCCGCCGCCGCCUUCACCGGCCCAGCAGGGGGCGUCCUUCCCCAUGCUGCUCCCGGUCUUCCUCCUCUUCGUCCUCCUGCUCUGCUUCCUCUCCAUCUUCCUCCUCCGCGACCUCCUCCGCUUCUUCUCCCUCUGGCUCCGCCGCCGCCGCCGCCUCCAGUCCAGCGACGCGGACGCCGCCACGGGCGAAGAAGGCGAGCCCGCGCCCGCGCCGCGCAAGCCGGCGGGCCUGGACCCCGCCGUCAUCGCCUCGUUCCCCACGGUGCGGUUCGAGGCCGACGCCGCCGGCUCCGCGGCGCCGGCGGAGUGCGCGGUCUGCCUGUCCGAGUUCGCGCCCGGCGACGCCGUCCGGCCGCUCACCGUCUGCCGCCACGCCUUCCACGCCGCGUGCAUCGACUCGUGGCUCGGCGCGCACACCACGUGUCCGGUCUGCCGCACCGACCUCGACGCGCCGCCCAACGAGGAGAUCGCCUUCGCCGAAGAACACGGACACAGUGGCCUCACUGCAGCGGCGGUCCACGAGGCCACUGGACACCGGACAACGUCAUCACCUCCGGCAACUGACCACCGGUAA
rnacentral:rRNA from 1 species